rnacentral:rRNA from 1 species
GCAUAUCAAUAAGCGGAGGAAAAGAAACCAACAGGGAUUGCCCUAGUAACGGCGAGUGAAGCGGCAACAGCUCAAAUUUGAAAUCUGGCGUAAGCCCGAGUUGUAAUUUGUAGAGGAUGCUUCAGGGCAGCGGCCGGUCUAAGUCUCUUGGAACAGGGCGUCAUAGAGGGUGAGAAUCCCGUAUGCGACCGGCUGGCACCCGUCACGUAGCUCCUUCGACGAGUCGAGUUGUUUGGGAAUGCAGCUCUAAAUGGGAGGUAAAUUUCUUCUAAAGCUAAAUACCGGCCAGAGACCGAUAGCGCACAAGUAGAGUGAUCGAAAGAUGAAAAGCACUUUGGAAAGAGAGUUAAAAAGCACGUGAAAUUGUUGAAAGGGAAGCGCAUGCAACCAGACUUGUCGGCGGUGUUCCGCCGGUCUUCUGACCGGUCUACUCGCCGCCGGCAGGCCAGCAUCAUCUGGGCGCGCCGGACAAAGGCGCGGGGAAUGUGGCUCCUCGGAGUGUUAUAGCCCCGCGCACAAUACGGCGCCGCCCGGGUGAGGUCCGCGCUUCGGCUAGGAUGCUGGCGUAAUGGUUGUCUGCGGCCCGUCUUGAAACACGGACCAAGGAGUCUAACAUCUAUGCGAGUGUUCGGGUGUCAAACCCCUACGCGGAAUGAAAGUGAACGGAGGUGGGAAGCGCAAGCUGCACCAUCGACCGAUCCUGAUGUCUUCGGAUGGAUUUGAGUAAGAGCAUAGCUGUUGGGACCCGAAAGAUGGUGAACUAUGCCUGAAUAGGGUGAAGCCAGAGGAAACUCUGGUGGAGGCUCGCAGCGGUUCUGACGUGCAAAUCGAUCGUCAAAUUUGGGUAUAGGGGCGAAAGACUAAUCGAACCAUCUAGUAGCUGGUUCCUGCGA